UAGUGUUUUUUAGAGAGGACAGAGAAGGAAAAAAACAUCCAAACGACAGACACAGUGUAUAGAAAAACAAGAACAGUGAAAGACGGCAACGAUACAGACAAAAAGAAAAAAAUAAAGAUUUUAUUAUUGUAUACAUUUAUUUUUUAUUUUCUUAUAAAAAAAAAAUAAUAAUUAAUCUAAACUUAAAUUACACCACCAAUAACAACCCCAACCAGACAACAAUUACAAAAAUAUAAAAAGUUAAUAAAAAAAAACGGGAAAUUUAUUCCCUCCUCAAACAAAAAAAAAAGCGAAAGUGUUUAGUUAAACUAACAAAUUAAAUAAAUCGUAAAAAUUUAUAUAAAAUUUUUACACACAAAAAAUAGCAAACUAACAAAAAAAGAAGAAGACUGACAAAAAGAGAAGUUAAAAAAAAAUUAUAACAAAAUGUGUGGAGGUUUUACAUGUUCGAAAAAUGCAUUAAUUGCUUUAAAUAUUUUAUAUGUGCUGGUUGGUUUCCUGUUAAUUGGCGUUGGCGUUUAUGCUCGUGCUGCUUCAAUUGUUACAAAUCUUCCUAUUGUUGGCGGUAUAUUGGCAUGUGGUAUAAUUUUAAUAUUAAUUUCCAUACUGGGCCUGGUUGGUGCCGUUAAACAUCAUCAAGUUAUGCUGUUUUUCUACAUGAUCAUUUUGUUUUUACUCUUCCUGAUACAAUUCUCCAUUGCCAGCUCUUGUUUGGCUGUUAACUCCGAACAGCAACAAGAAUUUGCUGAAGAAGGAUGGAAUCGUGUACCCGACUCUAUGCGCAAACAGGUUCAAGACACUUUCCUUUGCUGUGGCUUCAAUUCGACUAGCACUACGACCUCGGCCGAUAUCUCAUGUGAUGCUAUUAAUAAACAAUGUUGCGGCUCAUCGUAUGAUGUUAAUUGUCAGUGUUCACCCUGUUUGCCUAAGUUAGAGGAUAAAAUCAAUUAUGCCUUUAAAUUGUGCGGUGGUUUGGGUAUAUUCUUUAGUUUUACAGAGUUUAUUGGUGUUUGGCUAACUGUACGUUAUCGUAACCAAAAAGAUCCUCGUGGUUUACCCAGUGCAUUUCUUUAAAUUUAUCUAGAUACUUGUAACAGUAUACAAAAAUAAACAAAAAAUAACAACAAACAUUCUAAUCUUAAAAAGCAAACUCUUCUAGUCAGUCCAUGAAAUGACACAUUUCUCUUUAAAAUUUCCAAAAAAAAUCUCCAAACAGAUUCUCAUUUUAACUAAACACACUUUCACACACAGACAUACAAUAAUUAGUAUUUUAGGGGUAUUUUACAAAAAAUAUUUAAAAAUAAAAAUAAAUUAUAAUUAAAUAAACAAAAAUAUGUUUAUUAAACAAAUAUUUAUUAUACAUUACAUUACAUACAUAUACGUGAAAAUAUAAUUAAUAUUUAUUCAUAAAAUUAUCAUUAAUCAAUCAUCAUACAUUAUAUACAAAAUGAAAACAUGCAUUCUAAUACUUAAUUAUAUACGUAUAAAUUAUUAUACCAUACAUAAUAAUCAUUAAUUACAUUAUUCAUACUUAAUUUAUAAACAAUAUAUUAUUAUAAUUAUAAACAAAUUAAAAACAAUACAAUUUAUUACGAAUAAUUUUAGUUUUUAAGUCAAAAUAUUUAUUACUUCAUAUUUAAAAACUUGUAUCUCUACUCAAGAGUAUAAACACAAUUGCAGCGUUGCGUUUUAAAUUGAAGAAUUCCUUUCACAGCGUCAUUCCCCUUGACGCCUUUAACCAAUUGCGUUUAUGCUCUCGUACAGCCUUCGUUUUUUUUUUUUCAAGUAAACAAUUAUUUUAUAAGAACUUAUUUACUAAUCCACCAAGUUUUUUUCUGGCCAUAGCGUUAAAUACACCAGGGUUUCAUUAAAUUCUUUUAAAAUAUUAAAUACAUCAUUAUAAAUCAUCUGAAUUAAUCUAAUUAACAACUUUUUAUAAAUGUUUUUGGAAGUAAUUUUGCAUACUUUUUCACACUAUCUAACUUUAAUCUUGAGAACCAUCAAUAAUUGGGUACUUGCUGUCUUUUUAGCCCGUCGUUAUCGCAAUCAACAAGAUCCUCAUUAUCUGCCUGCUCGUGCUAUCUUUCCCCAUAAUUAUUUAUACUAAAGAACAAAACCAAAAAAACUAGGCAUAUUAUUAAAUUUUGUUUAUUGAAAUUAUCAGGAUCCAAGUAGUUUAGUUAAAAGAUAUAAGUUUUUUUUUUUAAAAUUGCAAAACAAAGGUUACUAAUUAAUUUUUAAAUUUUAUUUUUUUAUUUUUUGUUUUACGUUUUUUUUUUUUUUUGUAAUUUUAUUUAAUAGUCAAAAUGGGACGAAGGCUGAUUAUUGUUUAAUAAUAAAAGAAAAAUCUUUAAUAAAAGAAAUUACUAAAUUAUUA